rnacentral:misc_RNA from 1 species
ACAAACUUGGUCAUUUAGAGGAAGUAAAAGUCGUAACAAGGUCUCCGUAGGUGAACCUGCGGAGGGAUCAUUACAGAGUUUUCCAAACUCCAAACCCAUGUGAACUUACCACUGUUGCCUCGGCGGCAGGUCAUCUCUCGGGGUGGCAGCCGCCGGUGGACUACUAAACUCUUGUUAAUAUUUGUCAUUCUGAAUACAAAACUUAAUAAGUUAAAACUUUCAACAACGGAUCUCUUGGUUCUGGCAUCGAUGAAGAACGCAGC